rnacentral:ncRNA from 1 species
CGAGCUGUACAAAAAAGAGAGUUUCUCCUAGAACGGAAAGUUCUUCGUCAAAACUCCUAUUUUUGUCGUGCUCG